UUGCAUGCUUUAGGAGUGCUCUUGUGGUUCCUGGAAGCCAUGGGGCUCACCUGGAGGAAGAUAAUCUGCGCUUGCAGGAGGAGCUGGACAGGGCUGAUGCGGAGCUGCAGGAGGAGGAAGAAAAGCAUCUUCAGUCUGAGCAUUGUGUUCCUGACUUGAAGACUGCCUUGGAUACCAAGACAAGAGAGGCAAUAACUUCCUCCCAGAAACUGCAGGACCUCCUGGAAGAAGACGCGCAAGACUUUGCAAGUGAGAACAGCAGAUUGGAAGGCACUGUCCAGCAGCCAAGCGAGAGCGUUGAAGCCCUUCCGAGAGCCCUGCAAGCCUCUGCCUCA